GCCCGGAUGGUCUAGUGGUAAGUUCGAUAGGAAGACUGCUAUUUAAAUACCAUUUUCUAACAAGUAAACCAGGUAGGAUUCGCCCUUCGGGUUAAAACUCUCGGAUUCUUCGAAGCUUCUGAAUUGGGCGAGGUCCCCGGUUCGAUCCCGGGUUCGGGCC